rnacentral:rRNA from 1 species
UACGGAGGGGACUAGCGUUGUUCGGAAUUACUGGGCGUAAAGCGCACGUAGGCGGAUUUGUAAGUCAGGGGUGAAAUCCCGGGGCUCAACCCCGGAACUGCCUUUGAUACUGCGAAUCUCGAGUCCGGAAGAGGUGAGUGGAAUUCCUAGUGUAGAGGUGAAAUUCGUAGAGAUCAGGAGGAACACCCGGGGCGAAGGCGGCCCUCUGGCUCGACCCUGACGCUGAGGCGCGAAAGCGUGGGGAGCGAACGGG